rnacentral:rRNA from 1 species
GAUGAACGCUAGCGGCAGGCUUAAUACAUGCAAGUCGAGGGGCAGCACAGGUAGCAAUACUGGGUGGCGACCGGCAAACGGGUGCGGAACACGUACACAACUUACCUUAGAGUGGGGGAUAGCCCAGGGAAACUUGGAUUAAUACCCCAUAAAACAGGGGGCCCGCAUGGGCAUAUUGUUAAAGAUUUAUCGCUUUAAGAUGGGUGUGCGUAUGAUUAGGUAGUUGGUAGGGUAAAGGCCUACCAAGCCGACGAUCAUUAACUGGUGUGAGAGCACGACCAGUCACACGGGCACUGAGACACGGGCCCGACUCCUACGGGAGGCAGCAGUAAGGAAUAUUGGUCAAUGGACGGAAGUCUGAACCAGCCAUGCCGCGUGAAGGAUGAAGGUCCUCUGGAUUGUAAACUUCUUUUAUCUGGGACGAAAAAAGGCUAUUCUUAGUCACUUGACGGUACCAGAUGAAUAAGCACCGGCUAACUCCGUGCCAGCCGCCGCGGUAAUAC